GACGAACGCUGGCGGCGUGCUUAACACAUGCAAGUCGAACGGAGAUAUCCAAGUAGUAAUACGAAGAUAUCUUAGUGGCGGACGGGUGAGUAACACGUGGGUAACCUGCCCUAUGGAGGGGGAUAACACAAAGAAAUUUGUGCUAAUACCGCAUAACAUAGCUAUAUCGCAUGGUAGAGCUAUCAAAGAUUUAUUGCCAUAGGAUGGACCCGCGGCCCAUUAGCUAGUUGGUGAGGUAACGGCUCACCAAGGCGACGAUGGGUAGCCGAUCUGAGAGGAUGAACGGCCACAUUGGAACUGAGACACGGUCCAGACUCCUACGGGAGGCAGCAGUGGGGAAUAUUGCACAAUGGGGGAAAGCCUGACCGAGCAACGCCGCGUGAGCGAUGAAGGCCUUCGGGUCGUAAAGCUCUGUUGUUAGAGAAGAACAAGUACGAGAGUAACUGCUCGUACCUUGACGGUACCUAACCAGAAAGCCACGGCUAACUACGUGCCAGCAGCCGCGGUAAUACGUAGGUGGCAAGCGUUAUCCGGAAUUAUUGGGCGUAAAGCGCGCGCAGGCGGUCUCUUAAGUCUGAUGUGAAAGCCCACGGCUCAACCGUGGAGGGUCAUUGGAAACUGGGAGACUUGAGUGCAGGAGAGAAAAGUGGAAUUCCACGUGUAGCGGUGAAAUGCGUAGAGAUGUGGAGGAACACCAGUGGCGAAGGCGGCUUUUUGGCCUGUAACUGACGCUGAGGCGCGAAAGCGUGGGGAGCAAACAGGAUUAGAUACCCUGGUAGUCCACGCCGUAAACGAUGAGUGCUAGGUGUU
rnacentral:rRNA from 1 species